GAAAAUAUGAUUAUAUUCAUCAACAUUUUCCUGUCGGUGGAAGGGAGCUCGCCUCGAAGGCAUAGAUGAGGUUCUCAUCACUCCUAAUGUCUCAUCACCACGUUGACUGGCAUGCCUGAGGAUAGAAGACAGUGUGACGGACACUGGCAGACCUGCACGUUGACUUCCCAGAGGUAGGGCUGGUUUGAGAGUAUCUUUGGAGGUCAUGACCCUUAGGCACCAAGAGCAGGACAAACAGGACUGAGGUGCUGCAACAACACAUGGAAUGUUCUCUUUGUUUAGGUUUUUCUUCACUUUACUUGCGAAAGAAAAUCAAGUAAACUCUCCCUUCUGCACUUGAAUAAUAAAAAAAUCCUAUUAAAAUAUGUGGAAGAAACGACAUAAGAAACAUUUGUGGGAUGAAAAAUGAUAAAGUCUCUGGGUAUUGUUGUCUUAAAGCUCAAUAUGCAUUGUUCUUUCUCUUUCUAGUGGCUGUUUAACAUAGUGCUGGAAAUGUGAUUUAUUUUUAAGAUCUCACUUGAACAUAUAUUUGUUUUGUCAUCCACAACCACUUUGUCUGCAUUAUCUGUCCGUCCCUCACAAUAUAUUAUCGCCCCUGCGACUGGUUCAAUGUGGAACCGAUUGUUUCUGUAAAGAAAAAGCAUAAUAAAGUGAAUGAUUAAGAGGGUG